UAGUACCUUACUACUUGGAUAACCGUGGUAAUUCUAGAGCUAAUACAUGCUGAAAACCCCGACUUCGGAAGGGGUGUAUUUAUUAGAUAAAAAACCAAUGCCCUUCGGGGCUUCUUGGUGAUUCAUGAUAACUAAACGGAUCGCAUGGCCUUGCGCCGGCGACGGUUCAUUCAAAUUUCUGCCCUAUCAACUUUCGAUGGUAAGGUAUUGGCUUACCAUGGUUUCAACGGGUAACGGGGAAUUAGGGUUCGAUUCCGGAGAGGGAGCCUGAGAAACGGCUACCACAUCCAAGGAAGGCAGCAGGCGCGCAAAUUACCCAAUCCCGACACGGGGAGGUAGUGACAAUAAAUACUGAUACAGGGCUCUUUUGGGUCUUGUAAUUGGAAUGAGUACAAUUUAAACCUCUUAACGAGGAACAAUUGGAGGGCAAGUCUGGUGGCCAGCAGCCGCGGUAAUUCCAGCUCCAAUAGCGUAUAUUAAAGUUGUUGCAGUUAAAAAGCUCGUAGUUGAACCUUGGGCCUGGCUGGCAGGUCCGCCUCACCGCGUGUACUUGACCGGCCGGGCCUUUCCUUCUGGAGAACCUCAUGCCCUUCACUGGGUGUGCUGGGGAACCAGGACUUUUACUUUGAAAAAAUUAGAGUGUUCAAAGCAGGCCUUUGCUCGAAUACGUUAGCAUGGAAUAAUAGAAUAGGACGUGCGGUCCUAUUUUGUUGGUUUCUAGGACCGCCGUAAUGAUUAAUAGGGACAGUCGGGGGCAUCAGUAUUCAAUUGUCAGAGGUGAAAUUCUUGGAUUUAUUGAAGACUAACUACUGCGAAAGCAUUUGCCAAGGAUGUUUUCAUUAAUCAGUGAACGAAAGUUAGGGGAUCGAAGACGAUCAGAUACCGUCGUAGUCUUAACCGUAAACUAUGCCGACUAGGGAUCGGGCGAUGUUCUCAUUUUGACUCGCUCGGCACCUUACGAGAAA
rnacentral:rRNA from 1 species